rnacentral:rRNA from 1 species
UUGGAGGGCAAGUCUGGUGCCAGCAGCCGCGGUAAUUCCAGCUCCAAUAGCGUAUAUUAAAGUUGUUGCAGUUAAAAAGCUCGUAGUUGAAUUUCGGGGUUAGUAGGUCGGUCAUGCCUCAGGUAUGCACUGGUCUCACUGAUUCCUCCUUCCUGAUGAGCCGUAAUGCCAUUAAUUUGGUGUUGCGGGGAAUCUGGACUGUUACUUUGAAAAAAUUAGAGUGUUUAAAGCAGGCUAACGCUUGAAUACAUUAGCAUGGAAUAAUGGAAUAGGACGUUCGAUCCUAUUUUGUUGGUUUCUAGGAUUGACGUAAUGAUUAAUAGGGAUAGUUGGGGGCAUUAGUAUUCAAUUGUCAGAGGUGAAAUUCUUGGAUUUAUUGAAGACUAACUACUGCGAAAGCAUUUGCCAAGGAUGUUUUCAUUAAUCAAGAACGAAAGUUAGGGGAUCGAAGACGAUCAGAUACCGUCGUAGUCUUAACCAUAAACUAUGCCGACUAGGGAUCGGAUGAGUGAAUUAA